AGCUUUGCUCAGUGGCAGUAUGGUAGCCAAUGAGGUUUAUCUGAGGCACGAUUAUUACUAGUUGAAAAUUUUUCCUAAAAGAGACGCAUUGAUUUUUUUAAAAAAAGAAGGAAAGAAGAUACUUAAAACUAGGCCUCUCUG